CAUCUGUUUCUAGAAAUAACAGAGGCACUCACACAUUUCAUUCUGUCACCAAGAGUGUCAUCUAAAUAUAUCAGACAUUGUGCACGGAAAUUACAGUUCAUUUGUCAGACUUGUUGGAGAUACAGUACCCCUGCCUUGCAUUGUUAUGGCUGUUCUUGACAGUUUAUAUGAAGUAUGGGACAUUAUCAGGUCAUAGAGUAUUAUAUGUAACAACAGAAUCUUCCUUCUUCAUGCCACCACACUGUCUCAGAUGAUUCUUCAACAUAUUUUCCUGCAUCACGUAGUUUUAACCCAGUCCAGUCAGACUCGAUCAUGCAGUCAGUGUCCUCCAAUGCAAUGGAACAUGUUUACACUUAUACAUGUGUUUGCAUAUGUAUCGCUCUUACUCUGAGUUGUGAUCCAGCCUUUGUGAAACCGCUUCAUCCUCCUGUCAGUGCUGGGCAGAGUAAUGAGCUGUAAUGCGCCUCUAGAGCUCACUUCCACUUUCCCCUCCCUCGCUCGAUAUACCAGAGGGAAGCGUGCCCCUGGCGGCUAUUAGAGCGGUCAGAGCGGAUCGUAUCUCCGUGGCUGAGUUUAUUAGAAGACGAUUCUACGGACAGAAUAGAGCUAACUUCAGCCAUCAGAGAUGGAGAUGGAGUCUAAAGGAGCGGAUAGAGGAAGAAUUUGUAACGUUAGUCAUCUGAGAUAAAGAGUGGCGAUGAGUGACACAUGAAGUGAAAAAGGAAGAUGUGGAAGCGCGAGGGAAGCUAAUGAGGCAGGAAAUGCUCAUUUUCAUUUCCGCCAUUAGCGCUUCAGACAAGUGACGGGAAAAGAGACGUUGUGUAAGAGACGGGAGUGGGGAAAUGAGUGGACCGGUGAGACGGGACAAGGGAAGACUCGAGAGUAAAGGAGGAGGAUGUAGCAGAGAGCGAAAGCAGUAGUAGUACAUAACAAGAUGAAUCAAUGAGGAAAGAUAAGUAAAGCGUGCAGGUGUAAAGGAAGGGAAAGAGCAUCAUUGACACUUUGUGUGGCUGAUUUUUAUGUCAGAAAGAAAAAAACUAAACAUCUGGUCUUCACCUCCUUUUUUCUACCCAUAUUAUACCGUUUUGAACAUACAUGGCAAACCUUAAAACUAGAGGUUCAAACAUUUUAUUUCUCUAUAUAUCUAAACUCUGUCACUUUGAUUUAUUUGCUGCACUUGGGAUUAAAACACAAAUGAGAAGAACCCGUUAGAAAAGCUGGUAUAUAACCACCAACAGCACCCUCUUAACAUAACAGCAAGAGUUACACUCUGUUGUGGUCUUCGUUUGGUCGGUAGAACUCAGCUGUCCACUGUUCACCACCACAUACACUUUACCUCAUCCUGCUCUCUGCAACGUCCAAUCAGCAGCCAGUUUCUCUGCAAGCAUGGACCUAUAUCAACUAAUUAGAUACCGUCGACGUGUUUCUACUCAGCGAUCUCAAACUUUUGGAGCUGACUCAGUCGCCUCCACAAAGAAGAAUGCAUGUAAACAAGAGCUUGAGCGUCUGUUGCCAUAGACACGACGAUCAGCAGCAUCCUCCAACCAGCCUGCCUGCACAGUCACGUACUGUAGACGUGAAGGAUAACAUCUCUGACCCGAUGUCCACCUCCAGGCCCCGAUUACCAGCCCAGCGCCACCUGUGACUCGACCGCCCAGGCAGGAGAUCCUCAGCAUCGAUCUUCACAGGAAGCUUGGAAGAAACAACCUGAGAGACUACACUGUGGAACUGGCUUUGUUCUUCGAUCCAGCUGAAUGGAUUAUAAGGAAGAAGUGUAUAUACAGAUACAAGGUGUGUCAGGAGGAUCAUUUUGUAGGACACCAUACAGAAUGGAUUUGCAUGAAGAGUGACUCUAGUCUGUGGAAAACCAACAAUAACCCGUGAUGGCAAGUUCAAUUUCAAGAUCCCAUUCCUCCCCAAAUAUCCAACACCAACUGCAUUACUGUGUUAUCUGGAUGUUUGAGGAAUGUCGUAGUUGUACAGUUGAAGAUGUUUCACCAUUCAAAUGACUCUAAUCCACACAAACACAAUGCCGUCUGGGGAGACAAUAAAAAAAGCUGAACUUA